ensembl:lncRNA
CCCCCUAGAGUACCCCUCAGCUCCUUAUAGACCCAUACGCCUUAACAGUCCCUGCACAGCCCCCUACAGCAGCCCUAUAUCCCCCUAUAGCCUCCCCGCAGCUCCCAGUAGCCACAGACCCAGAACUUCCCAGGUUGUUUCUGCUUUUGAAGCAUUUGCAUACUGCAGGGUGAGCAAAAGUUUCCGCUGCUUCUUCUGAUCCUUCUUCUGGAAGAUCUGCCUACAGGUAAAUGACAGCUAAACUGCAGACCUAGCAUAAUGCCUGGCAUUGGUCAGGGUGAGCUCCUCCUGCCACAGUGUGAUGCUGACAGGGCUGGAGAUGCUCUGCAGGGCCAGCUUGUAGCUGGAAGCCAGGAAUGGACACAGUGGGAGGACAGAGCUAUCGGGGAGCAGCCGAGGCACCCGAGAGCAUCCAAAAGCCCUCAAGAGCAUCACAGAGCCACAACCAGGAAACUUGGCAUGACCAUGAGCAGCAUCCAGGAUGCUAGAGAUUAUUUGCUACCAUACAAAAUGGGAGCAGAGCUCUCGCUGCAGGCAACCCCCAGCCAGACAAAAUGGGAACAAACCCGGAGCUCUGCUGCAUGCACAGCCCACAGCCAUAGCCUUGCAAGCUGAGGUGCCUUGCUGUUUGUUGCAUUCAUUCCAAACCCUGUGAAUCAUAGAAUCAUAGACCCUCUAAGGUUGGAAAAGACCCACAGGAUCAUCCAGUCCAACCGUUCGCCCAGCACCGAUGAUUCUCACUAAACCAUGUCCCUCAACAUAACAUCCAAAAGCUCAUUGAGCACCACCAGGGUCGGUGACUCCAUCAUCUCUCUGGGCAGCCCAUUCCAGUGCCUGACCACCCUUUCAGACAAGUAGUAUUUCCUAAUGUCUAGCCUGAACCUUCCCUGACACAGCUUGAAGCCAUUCCCUGUAGUCCUAUCACUAGUCACACGAGAGAAGAGACUGACUCCCAGCUCACUACAACCUCCUUUCAGGUAGUUAUAGAGAGCAAUAAGGUCUCCCCUGAGCCUCCUCUUCUCCAGGCUGAACAAUCCCAGCUCCUUCAGCCGCUCCUCAUAAGGCCUGUGCUCCAGAGCCCUCACCAGCUUUGUUGCCCUCCUCUGGACACGCUCCAGGGCCUCGGUGUCUUUCUUACAGUGAGGGGCCCAAAACUGAACACAGUACUCGAGUUGAGGCCUCACCAGUGCUGAGUACAGGGGGACAAUUACUUCCCUGCUCCUGCUGGCCACACUAUUUCUGAUACAAGCCAAGAUGCCAUUGGCCUCCUUGGCCACCUGGGCACACUGCUGGCUCGUGUUCAGUCUAGCAUCAAUCAACACCCCCAGGUCCAUUUCCUGCUACACAGUAUUCCAGCCACUCUGUCCCAAGCUUGUAGUGUUGCCUGGGGUUAUUGUGGCCAAAGUGCAGGACCCAGCAUUUGGUCUUGCUGAAUCCCAUCAUGAAGACUCAGAAUGCAGUCAAGGCAUUGAUCCAGCAUGAGCGUGCUUUUAAU